AGGACAAUGAAACAAGAUACAUUCCUAGUUGUUCACGGACGCCAAAUCGAAGCAAAGAAACUUGCUUGAAAUAAGACUGUACAAUAUCAGAAAUCUUAACCGAAGAAAAGAGCCUGUAACUUCGAACAAAGAGAAAGAAACUGCAACUAAACAGCUCCUGAUCUAAUUGUUGAUUUGUAAUACCAGCACUCUGUUUAGUAGAAGAUUUAAUUUCGAGGUCAACAUGCAGAGCCACGACAAUGAACGAAAGAAACAACGUGUAACACCAUGUGUUCUCUUUGGGCUCCUUUGUUUUUUUUUGGGAGGCAUUAGCCUCAUAGGGUAUUUCCUGACUCCUGAUGACUCUGAUGAUUAUAAUCUACAUCCUGAAUAUCAGUUUAGUGACAAGCCGGAUGCCCUACCAUUUGGCAUAGUUUUUAUGUUGUUUGGAUUUUUACUUCUUGUUUGUGUCACUUGUUGUCAGAAAAAUGGUGCUGAUUGUUAAACAAAACCGACCCUAACCUCAUUCUACAUGUAUAUGUAUUGCAAAAGUAGUCUGUGUAUUUCGUUGACAUUAUUGCAAUUACAUCGUUAAGAAAUCGUUCGAAAAAUAUUUGUAACCUAUUAAGUGAAGUUACCCCUAAAGUCAUUCUAUCAGGUGGCCAAGACUAGCUGAUCACAACUGAGUCAGGUUAACGCAAAAGUUAAUAACUAAAAUACGAAGUUUUAGCAGGACUUUGUUUUGGUAGAGAUAACUUCAGUUCUGUUUUUGCUAGACCCCAAAUGGUCCAAAUAAAACAUAAACAUUCCAAGUAUCUCUUCGGAGAAUCUGAAAUAAGGUAAAGAUAAUUACAGAGCAAACAGCUACAAAUCAA